rnacentral:rRNA from 1 species
GAUGAACGCUGGCGGCGUGCUUAACACAUGCAAGUCGAACGAAGGGAAAGGAGCUUGCUCCUUGAACUUAGUGGCGGACGGGUGAGUAACGCGUGGGUAACCUGCCCUAUGCAGGGGGAUAACGUUUGGAAACGAACGCUAAUACCGCAUAAACUAUGGUCUUUCGCAUGAGAGAUAUAGCAAAGAUUUAUCGGCAUAGGAUGGACCCGCGUUGGAUUAGCUAGUUGGUGAGAUAACAGCCCACCAAGGCGACGAUCCAUAGCCGGCCUGAGAGGGUGAACGGCCACAUUGGGACUGAGACACGGCCCAAACUCCUACGGGUGGCAG